rnacentral:lncRNA from 1 species
UUAGCUUUGCUGGGCGUAGUCACAUUUGACGGGACAUUUGUAGCUGCUGCUGCUACCAUUGCAGCUUCCCUUGUUCUAUUAUCAAGCCGAAUCAAGCUCUGCGUGGCCAAUAUUGCCUGCGGAACCAAAUCAUGAGACCCCCUAGCAUACAAUCGCCUUACUGCCACAGAAGCAGCAUCUUUGACAUCUUGGCCACUCAAUGGCCCCAACAGGCAGUGCCCCAAAAUCCUCAACAACGGCUGCAAAAUCUCCCAUGGCAGGGGGAUCCUUACCCCUUUCAACUCCAGAUCACCUGAACCAACCCUCUCAAUUUUCAAUUCCCUUAUUUGAUCAACAACACCAUCCUCAUGUUCAAUCUCCACACCAUUAAUUCCGUAUCCAUUGUUCUCAAAACCAUUACUCAAAUUGUUGCUACCUUCCAGAAAGUAUCCGGAGCCAUUUUCAUUAGCGAAUCCAUUGGCGGAUUUCU